GCACUUGUAGCUCAACUGGAUAGAGCAUCUGAUUACGAGUCAGGAGGUUUGGGGUUCGAAUCCCUACAAGUGCGCCA
rnacentral:tRNA from 1 species